CUGGAACUGAGACACGGUCCAGACUCCUACGGGAGGCAGCAGUGGGGAAUAUUGCACAAUGGGCGCAAGCCUGAUGCAGCCAUGCCGCGUGUAUGAAGAAGGCCUUCGGGUUGUAAAGUACUUUCAGUCGUGAGGAAGGCGGCGUCGUUAAUAGCGGCGUUGUUUGACGUUAGCGACAGAAGAAGCACCGGCUAACUCCGUGCCAGCAGCCGCGGUAAUACGGAGGGUGCGAGCGUUAAUCGGAAU
rnacentral:rRNA from 1 species